CCUACGGGAGGCAGCAGUGAGGAAUAUUGGUCAAUGGACGAGAGUCUGAACCAGCCAAGUCGCGUGAAGGAUGACUGCCCUAUGGGUUGUAAACCUCUUUUAUAUGGGAAUAAAAUGUUCCACGUGUGGCACUUUGCAUGUACCUUAUGAAUAAGCAUCGGCUAACUCCGUGCCAGCAGCCGCGGUAAUACGGAGGAUUCGAGCGUUAUCCGGAUUUAUUGGGUUUAAAGGGUGCGUAGGAGGUGAGGUAAGUCAGCGGUGAAAAGCCCCCGCUCAACGGGGUGAAGUGCAAUUGAUACUGCAUGGCUGGAGUGCAGGUGAGGUGGGAGGAAUGUGUAGUGUAGCGGUGAAAUGCAUAGAUAUCA
rnacentral:rRNA from 1 species